rnacentral:ncRNA from 1 species
UUUCCCACAAAAUAGUUGGAGUGCGUAAUAGAGCUGUUAUAUUCGGUAAAUCACAUGACUGGAAGAACUGUGAGACAAAAUGUCUUCAAUUUUCAAAGUUUCAAUAAUUAUGACGUAUCGUUUGCUUGAAUGAAGCAUAGACAUUGAAUGUGUACUCCAAGUGGGACAUUUUUGAUAAGUAAACUUAGUAAUGUGGAAUGAACCG